rnacentral:tRNA from 1 species
GGGGCUAUAGCUCAGCUGGGAGAGCGCCUGCUUUGCACGCAGGAGGUCUGCGGUUCGAUCCCGCANCGCUCUC